GGAGCAUGUGAUCUGGCUGUGACAUGUUACCCCAUUGGUCGCUAGGGUUGAUUUGACUGAUCUGGCUGGUUAGGCCUGUGUCCCCUUCCUCCCUCACAAUUCCAUGUGUGCCCUCCUGAAGCUGUGCACUGGGUCAAAGAGAUUGACCUUCUCCACGAAAGGAGGACUGUUCUUCAGUCAAGGGUAUAUUAGUAGCUGCACAUCCCUGCUAGAACCUCCAGAUAAGCUCUCAAGGUAAUAAGCUUUACAGUCAGAAAGAGGGAGUCCUCCAUCUUCAUUCUUCUUUUUUUAAGAACUCUGGCUAUUUGGGGCUUUUUA
rnacentral:snRNA from 1 species